rnacentral:rRNA from 1 species
AUUGAACGCUGGCGGCAGGCCUAACACAUGCAAGUCGAGCGAGCGGGGGACGGGUGAGUAAUGUCUGGGAAACCGUCCCAUGGAGGGGGAGAAACCUUGGAAAAGGUGGCUAUAAUCCCACACCAUAUGAGGUGCCCAGAUGGGAGGAGCUCUUAGGUGGGGUAACGGCUCACCUAGGCGACGAUCCCCAGCUGGUCUGAGAGGAUGACCAGCCACACUGGGACUGAGGCACGGUCCAGACUCCGACGGGAGGACGCAGUGGGGAAUAUGGGACAAUGGGCGCAACCCUGAUGCAGCCAUGCCGCGUGUGUUAAGAAGGCCUUCGGGUUGUAAAGCACUUUCAGCGGGGAGGCGUUACCCGCAGAAGAAGCACCGGCUAACUCCGUGCCAGCAGCCGUGGUAAUAC